rnacentral:rRNA from 1 species
UACGUAGGGACCAAGCGUUGUUCGGAUUUACUGGGCGUAAAGGGCGCGUAGGCGGCAAUUCAAGUCAGCUGUGAAAUCUCCGGGCUUAACUCGGAACGGUCAGCUGAUACUGCUUUGCUAGAGUGCAGAAGGGGCAAUCGGAAUUCUUGGUGUAGCGGUGAAAUUCGUAGAUAUCAAGAGGAACACCUGAGGUGAAGACGGGUUGCUGGGCUGACACUGACGCUGAGGCGCGAAAGCUAGGGUAGCAAACGGG